rnacentral:rRNA from 1 species
GUUUAACGGCCGCGGUAUUUUAACCGUGCGAAGGUAGCGCAAUCACUUGUCUUUUAAAUGGAGACCUGUAUGAAGGGUGAAACGAGGGCUUAGCUGUCUCCUUCCCUUAGUCAAUGAAAUUGAUUUUCCCGUGCAGAAGCGGAAAUUUUUACAUAAGACGAGAAGACCCUGUGGAGCUUUAGACAUAGGAUGUAGGUCCUGUCACUUCGCCUCAUAUGCAAGGAAAAACAAUUGAACACUACUUCCUGUCUUAGGUUGGGGAGACCCCGGGGAAACGACUAAACCCCCUUGUGGAAUGAGGGCACAAGACUCACUGUCAGCCCUUAAACUUCAGAGCGACAGCUCUAAAUGUCAGAACUUCUGACCUUUUAGAUCCGGCAAAGCCGAUUAACGAACCAAGUUACCCUAGGGAUAACAGCGCAAUCCUCUUUUAGAGCCCUUAUCGACAAGAGGGUUUACGACCUCGAUGUUGGAUCAGGACCUCCUGCUGGUGUAACCGCUAUCCAGGGUUCGUUUGUUCAACGAUUAA